ensembl:snoRNA
AGGCCCUUCUGUAUUACACCUUGAACAGUUUGUUGUUGUUAUUUUGGUUUGCACCAGGAUGCUAAAGAAAAAUCCCUGUACUUUCUCUGUCUUUGUGGCAACCCAGACUGAAUUGCGGAAUACAUUU